CCUACGGGUGGCAGCAGUGAGGAAUAUUGGUCAAUGGACGAGAGUCUGAACCAGCCAAGUAGCGUGAAGGAUGACUGCCCUAUGGGUUGUAAACUUCUUUUAUAUGGGAAUAAAAUGUUCCACGUGUGGGAUUUUGUAUGUACCAUAUGAAUAAGGAUCGGCUAACUCCGUGCCAGCAGCCGCGGUAAUACGGAGGAUCCUAGCGUUAUCCGGAUUUAUUGGGUUUAAAGGGAGCGUAGGUGGAUUGUUAAGUCAGUUGUGAAAGUUUGCGGCUCAACCGUAAAAUUGCAGUUGAAACUGGCAGUCUUGAGUACAGUAGAGGUGGGCGGAAUUCGUGGUGUAGCGGUGAAAUGCUUAGAUAUCACGAAGAACUCCAAUUGCGAAGGCAGUUCACUGGACUGCAACUGACACUGAGGCUCGAAAGUGUGGGUAUCAAACAGGAUUAGAUACCCCUGUAGUC
rnacentral:rRNA from 1 species